UACGUAGGGGGCUAGCGUUGUCCGGAAUCAUUGGGCGUAAAGCGCGUGUAGGCGGCCCGGUAAGUCCGCUGUGAAAGUCCAGGGCUCAACCCUGGGAUGCCGGUGGGAUACUGUCGGGCUCGAGUCCGGAAGAGGCGAGUGGAAUUCCUGGUGUAGCGGUGGAAAUGCGCAGAUAUCAGGAGGAACACCAAUGGCGAAGGCAGCUCGCUGGGACGUG
rnacentral:rRNA from 1 species